UACGUAGGGUGCGAGCGUUAAUCGGAAUUACUGGGCGUAAAGCGUGCGCAGGCGGUGAGCUGUGUCCGAUGUGAAAGCCCCAGGCUUAACCUGGGAAUGGCAUUGGAAACUGGCUCGCUGGAGUGUGGCAGAGGGGGGUGGAAUUCCGCGUGUAGCAGUGAAAUGCGUAGAGAUGCGGAGGAACACCGAUGGCGAAGGCAGCCCCCUGGGCUAACACUGACGCUCAGGCACGAAAGCGUGGGGAGCAAACAGG
rnacentral:rRNA from 1 species